rnacentral:lncRNA from 1 species
UUUUGGAUUCUGCUUAUCAAACCAUGCCUUUUUGAUGUUUGCUCAUGUCAUGCCUUGCUCGUCUUCUCAUGGUUUCUAUCAUCUUUCUGCUUUAGCUCCUACUGUCCUGCUGAGUAAUCAAACAAAUCUCUAGAUACUGUGGUCUUGCUGCUCAUCUCAGUAAAGGACAAAAACAAAUAACAGCUGCUGAAAUUGUGAACCUUCCUUCCU